rnacentral:rRNA from 1 species
AUGCCAGCAAUAUUGUUAUUAGUUCACAGACAAAAGCAUAUUUAUUUAUUUGGCUUCAGAAGACAUUUUUUACUGGUUACUAUAUUAUCUCAGUCAUUGUCAGCUCAAACAUGUCUUAGUUUUUUCAGAGAAAAUAGGCAGGAAUUAAGACCCAAAUGUGCAUGUAUAACCAAAACCUAUAACAACCUGAAGCUAUCAGAAUAA